AUACAGAGGGUGCGAGCGUUAAUCGGAUUUACUGGGCGUAAAGCGUGCGUAGGCGGCUUUUUAAGUCGGAUGUGAAAUCCCCGAGCUUAACUUGGGAAUUGCAUUCGAUACUGGGAAGCUAGAGUAUGGGAGAGGAUGGUAGAAUUCCAGGUGUAGCGGUGAAAUGCGUAGAGAUCUGGAGGAAUACCGAUGGCGAAGGCAGCCAUCUGGCCUAAUACUGACGCUGAGGUACGAAAGCAUGGGGAGCAAACAGGAUUAGAAACCCUAGUAGUCC
rnacentral:rRNA from 1 species